rnacentral:rRNA from 1 species
UACGGGGGGGGGCAAGCGUUGUUCGGAAUUACUGGGCGUAAAGGGCGCGUAGGUGGUUCGCUAAGUUGAAUGUGAAAACUCUGGGCUUAACCCAGAGCCUGCAUUCAAUACUGGCGGGCUAGAGUUCUGGAGGGGAAAGCGGAAUUCCUGGUGUAGAGGUGAAAUUCGUAGAUAUCAGGAGGAACACCAGUGGCGAAGGCGGCUUUCUGGACGAUAACUGACGCUGAGACGCGAAAGCGUGGGGAGCAAACAGG